UUUUACUCUCUACCCAAAUCCCAAAACAUAAAAAAUAAUUUUUUUUUCCCGCCUCCCUCCCACUGUUUCACUUUCCUUUCUCCUAUAUCACAUUUAAAAAAAAAAAUCAUUUUCUCUUAAAGAACAAAAUAAAAGGCCCUAAUUUUGAUACAAUUUUUUUGAUUUUCACAAAUUAAAUUUCUACUUCGCACUGAAAUAAAUGAGCAAUCAUGAGUGCUGGAGAUCUUCUUAAUAUCCACUCAAUAGAGCUCAAAACUCCAACGAAGUUCCUUUCUUGCUCUCUAUCUCUCCUUUUCUUUUUCCUGUUUGCUUUCCGAGAAAAUGGAAACAAAAUAAAAUAUCUAAAUUUAUUGAUUUUGUUACGAAAUUACGCGAGAGCGGCUCUAACUAGGAGCCAAAUUGUUUGUUGUUGGGAUUUGUGAAUUUCAAAUCAAUAGCUGUUACAAUGCAAGGCCAAAAGGAGUCACCGCCAGAUAUGCAAUGCAAGGACAAGCUCCUGCUUCAGAGUGUAGUUGCACCUGAUGGUACAACUACCAAAGACAUAACUUCUGAUAUGAUUGACGGUUAUGCUUGCUCAAUAUAGAAUUAAAGAUGGGAGUGAUUGGUUUUGCAGUUUAAUAAGGAGGAUGGUAGGGUGAUGGAGGAUUUCAAAUUGACGGUUUUAUACAGCCCUUGCAAAUCUUCCCUCUCCUGUUGCAGAAGAACCUGAUGAAGGAUCUUCUUCUUCUAGGCCUUCUAUGUUUGAGAACGGUAAUCAGGAUACUUCAUUGCUUGAUGCUGUAUCGAGAUCUUUAGAGGAGCCUAAAGAAAAAAUCUUCUGAGACUUGGUCUGUGAUUUCAAGAUUGACAGAGGAGAAAACUCCUGCCAUGCCUGCAACAAAAUCAGAAGCUUCGGCAUGAACUGGAACUGAUGAGAAAACAGAUCAGCAAAAAACAUGCUGGGGGUGUCUCUUUACUGGUUGUUUUUCUGGUUUGGUUUGUUUGGCAUCUUGGUUGGCUAUAUCUUCAAGUGAAUAUCCAAGCGACUGAGAUUAUAGUCUGAGUUGACAGAGUGUGCUGCCUUCCCAGAGGUUUUGAAACUUUUUAGGACUUCCUCACGUAGUUUGUAAAAUUAUAGUCAGAUGCAUUUUUGGCACUUUUGAUUAUUGAUUUGUCAGAUGUUUGAGCAAGAACUAGGUCGGUUUGGAUGGUAGUUAGACUGGCUAA